UAAUCGGAAGUUCAAAAUUUUAAAGUAUCCUCUAAGUUCCGGUUUGAAAUCCAUAGACCAAAAAUGGAGUCUAAGGGGCUUCAACAAACCAAUUUGCUCAAAAAUAAAUUCAGUCAAACAGAGUUGGGUAAAAUGUUCUUAAAUACCAUAUUUGGUGUGCCCGAUAGUGAAAUCAAGAUAUUCGUUUCAUUGGGUGAAGCCAAGAGCACCUUUGAAGUCCAUAUCUAUAGGCAAAAACGACCAGAAGAUAUUCCAUAUAAGUUGGCAAUGAAAAUUUGCUCUUCCACCGAGUUUGACAUAUUCAAAUCCACUGAUUUCUUCAAAAGAAUGUAUCACUACGUUGUUAAUGAACAUGUCAGGGAAAGGGAUGUGAAAAUGUAUUUGUUGCUAGCAUUUGAUUAAUACUUAAAUGGUGCUAUUAUAACAUCAGGAUCCUGCCAUCGUCAUUGAAAUAUUAUUUUUAAGUCGCAAAAAUAUUUACCAGAAAACAGUCUUUAGUGGUGAACUUUAACUUUGAUUAACCAAACUGAACGAACUUAGAGGAUACAUGUAUAUAAACUACAAAAAAA